AGUGCAGUGUCUGAAAAAGAAUAAUCUUGAUGGGAUUGAGUAUGUAGAGUAAUCUACCUUCACUA
rnacentral:tRNA from 1 species